AAUCCUAAGGCCGGCGGAAGAAGCAUUGUCAAGGAACUCGGCAAAAUGGCCCCGUAACUUAGGGAUAAGGGGUGCCUGGGAAACCCGGCCGCAGAGAAUAGGCUCAAGCAACUGUUUAGCAAAAACACAGGUCUAUGCGAAACCGAAAGGUGAGGUAUAUGGGCUGACGCCUGCCCGGUGCUGGAAGGUUAAGAGGAGAGGUUAGCGGUAACGCGAAGCUUUGAAUUUAAGCCCCAGUAAACGGCGGCCGUAGCCAUAACGGUCCUAAGGUAGCGAAAUUCCUUGUCGGGUAAGUUCCGACCCGCACGAGAGGCGUAAUGAUUUGAGCGCUGUCUCGACAAUGCAUCCGGUGAAAUUGAAGUACCAGUGAAGAUGCUGGUUACCUGCGCCAGGACGGAAAGACCCCAUGGAGCUUUACUCCAGUCUGGUACUGGGACUCGGUAUUGCAUGUACAGGAUAGGUGGGAGGCUAGGAGAUGGUAACGCCAGUUGCCAUGGAGCCGCUGUUGGGAUACCACCCUUGCAGUAUUGGGUUUCUAACCAGCCGCCGUGACCCGGCGGUGGGACAAUGCCAGACGGGGAGUUUGACUGGGGCGGUCGCCUCCGAAAGGGUAUCGGAGGCGCCCAAAGGUUCCCUCAGAAUGGACGGAAACCAUUCGAAGAGUGCAAAGGCAGAAGGGAGCUUGACUGCGACACCGACGGGUGGAGCAGGUACGAAAGUAGGGCUUAGUGAUCCGGUGGUAUUAAGUGGGAAUGCCAUCGCUCAACGGAUAAAAGCUACCCUGGGAUAACAGGCUUAUCACUCCCAAGAGUUCACAUCGACGGAGUGGUUUGGCACCUCGAUGUCGGCUCAUCGCAUCCUGGGGCUGUAGUAGGUCCCAAGGGUUGGGCUGUUCGCCCAUUAAAGCGGUACGCGAGCUGGGUUCAGAACGUCGUGAGACAGUUCGGUCCCUAUCCGGCGUGGGCGUAGGAUAUCUGAGAGGAGCUGUCCUUAGUACGAGAGGACCGGGAUGGACGGGCCGCUGGUGCAUCGGUUAGACUGCCAAGUCUACGGCCGAGUAGCCAAGCCCGGAAGGGAUAAACGCUGAAGGCAUCUAAGCGUGAAGCCCCCCUUAAGAUGAGAUAUCCCAUUCGUUAAGAAGUAAACCCCCUUGAAGACGACGAGGUAGAUAGGGCAGAGGUGGAAGUGCAGUAAUGCAUGGAGCUGACUGUUACUAUCGGGUGAGGGCUUGACUAA
rnacentral:rRNA from 1 species